UACGUAGGGUGCAAGCGUUGUCCGGAAUUAUUGGGCGUAAAGAGCUUGUAGGCGGUUUUGUCGCGUCUGCUGUGAAAAUCCGGGGCUCAACCCCGGACUUGCAGUGGGUACGGGCAGACUGGAGUGUGGUAGGGGAGACUGGAAUUCCUGGUGUAGCGGUGGAAUGCGCAGAUAUCAGGAGGAACACCGAUGGCGAAGGCAGGUCUCUGGGCCACUACUGACGCUGAGAAGCGAAAGUGUGGGGAGCGAACAGG
rnacentral:rRNA from 1 species